rnacentral:rRNA from 1 species
AUUGAACGCUGGCGGCAUGCCUUACACAUGCAAGUCGAACGGCAGCACGGGUGCUUGCACCUGGUGGCGAGUGGCGAACGGGUGGGUAAUACAUCGGAACAUGUCCUGUAGUGGGGGAUAGCCCGGCGAAAGCCGGAUUAAUACCGCAUACGAUCCACGGAUGAAAGCGGGGGACCUUCGGGCCUCGCGCUAUAGGGUUGGCCGAUGGCUGAUUAGCUAGUUGGUGGGGUAAAGGCCUACCAAGGCGACGAUCAGUAGCUGGUCUGAGAGACGACCAGCCACACUGGGACUGAGACACGGCCCAGACUCCUACGGGAGGCAGCAGUGGGGAAUUUUGGACAAUGGGCGAAAGCCUGAUCCAGCAAUGCCGCGUGUGUGAAGAAGGCCUUCGGGUUGUAAAGCACUUUUGUCCGGAAAGAAAUCCUUGACUCUAAUACAGUCGGGGGAUGACGGUACCGGAAGAAUAAGCACCGGCUAACUACGUG